GACGAACGCUGGCGGCGUGCUUAACACAUGCAAGUCGAACGGUAAGGCCCUUCGGGGUACACGAGUGGCGAACGGGUGAGUAACACGUGGGUGAUCUGCCCUGCACUUCGGGAUAAGCCUGGGAAACUGGGUCUAAUACCGGAUAGGACCCUGGGAUGCAUGUCCUGGGGUGGAAAGCUUUUGCGGUGUGGGAGGGGCCCGCGGCCUAUCAGGUUGUUGGUGGGGUGAUGGCCUAACAAGGCGACGACGGGUAGCCGGCAUGGGAGGGUGACCGGCCACACUGGGACUGAGAUACGGCCCAGACUCCUACGGGAGGCAGCAGUGGGGAAUAUUGCACAAUGGGCGCAAGCCUGAUGCAGCGACGCCGCGUGAGGGAUGACGGCCUUCGGGUUGUAAACCUCUUUCAGCACCGACGAAGCGCGAGUGACGGUAGGUGCAGAAGAAGGACCGGCCAACUACGUGCCAGCAGCCGCGGUAA
rnacentral:rRNA from 1 species